rnacentral:rRNA from 1 species
CCUGAGUACGACGGAGCACGUGAAAUUCCGUCGGAAUCUGGGAGGACCAUCUCCUAAGGCUAAAUACUCUCUAGUGACCGAUAGUGAACCAGUACCGUGAGGGAAAGGUGAAAAGUACCCCGGAAGGGGAGUGAAAGAGAACUUGAAACCGUGUGCUUACAAGUAGUCAGAGCCCGUUAAUGGGUGAUGGCGUGCCUUUUGUAGAAUGAACCGGCGAGUUACGAUCUGAUGCAAGGUUAAGCAGAAAAUGUGGAGCCGUAGCGAAAGCGAGUCUGAAUAGGGCGAAUGAGUAUUUGGUCGUAGACCCGAAACCAGGUGAUCUACCCUUGGUCAGGUUGAAGUUCAGGUAACACUGAAUGGAGGACCGAACCGACUUACGUUGAAAAGUGAGCGGAUGAACUGAGGGUAGCGGAGAAAUUCCAAUCGAACUUGGAGAUAGCUGGUUCUCUCCGAAAUAGCUUUAGGGCUAGCCUCAAGUGAUGAUUAUUGGAGGUAGAGCACUGUUUGGACGAGGGGCCCCUCUCGGGUUACCGAAUUCAGACAAACUCCGAAUGCCAAAUAAUUUAACUUGGGAGUCAGAAUGUGGGUGAUAAGGUCCAUAUUCGAAAGGGAAACAGCCCAGACCACCAGCUAAGGUCCCAAAAUAUAUGUUAAGUGGAAAAGGAUGUGGCGUUGCCCAGACAACUAGGAUGUUGGCUUAGAAGCAGCCAUCAUUUAAAGAGUGCGUAAUAGCUCACUAGUCGAGUGACACUGCGCCGAAAAUGUACCGGGGCUAAACAUAUUACCGAAGCUGUGGAUUGUCCUUU